AGAGUUUGAUCAUGGCUCAGGAUGAAUGCUGGCGGCGUGCCUAACACAUGCAAGUCGAGCGGCAGCGAGGGGUGCUUGCACCCUGUCGGCGAGCGGCGAACGGCUGAGUAACGCGUAGGAAUUUGCCCCAAAGUGAGGAAUAACUGCCCGAAAGGGUAGCUAAUGCCGCAUAUGGUCUUCGGAUUAAAGGAUUUAUCCGCUUUGGGAGAAGCCUGCGUUGGAUUAGGUAGUUGGUAGGGUAAUGGCCUACCAAGCCGACGAUCCAUAGCUGGUCUGAGAGGAUGAUCAGCCAGACUGGAACUGAGACACGGUCCAGACUCCUACGGGAGGCAGCAGUGAGGAAUCUUCCACAAUGGGCGAAAGCCUGAUGGAGCAACGCCGCGUGAAGGAUGAAGGCCUUCGGGUUGUAAACUUCUUUUAUGAGUGAAGAAUAUGACGGUAACUCAUGAAUAAGCACCGGCUAACUACGUGCCAGCAGCCGCGGUCAUACGUAGGGUGCGAGCAUUAUCCGGAGUGACUGGGCGUAAAGAGUUGCGUAGGCGGUUUAAUAAGUGAAUAGUGAAACCUGGUGGCUCAACCAUACAGACUGUUAUUCAAACUGUUAAACUCGAGAAUGGUAGAGGUAACUGGAAUUUCUUGUGUAGGAGUGAAAUCCGUAGAUAUAAGAAGGAACACCAAUGGCGUAGGCAGGUUACUGGGCCAUUUCUGACGCUAAGGCACGAAAGCGUGGGGAGCGAACCGGAUUAGAUACCCCGGUAGUCCAA
rnacentral:rRNA from 1 species